rnacentral:rRNA from 1 species
ACGGGAGGCAGCAGUGAGGAAUAUUGGUCAAUGGCCGAGAGGCUGAACCAGCCAAGUCGCGUGAGGGAUGAAGGUUCUAUGGAUCGUAAACCUCUUUUAUAAGGGAAUAAAGUGCGGGACGUGUCCCGUUUUGUAUGUACCUUAUGAAUAAGGAUCGGCUAACUCCGUGCCAGCAGCCGCGGUAAUACGGAGGAUCCGAGCGUUAUCCGGAUUUAUUGGGUUUAAAGGGUGCGUAGGCGGCCUUUUAAGUCAGCGGUGAAAGUCUGUGGCUCAACCAUAGAAUUGCCGUUGAAACUGGGGGGCUUGAGUAUGUUUGAGGCAGGCGGAAUGCGUGGUGUAGCGGUGAAAUGCAUAGAUAUCACGCAGAACCCCGAUUGCGAAGGCAGCCUGCCAAGCCAUUACUGACGCUGAUGCACGAAAGCGUGGGGAUCAAACAGGAUUAGAUACCCUGGUAGUCCACGCAGUAAACGAUGAUCACUAGCUGUUUGCGAUACACUGUAAGCGGCACAGCGAAAGCGUUAAGUGAUCCACCUGGGGAGUACGCCGGCAACGGUGAAACUCAAAGGAAUUGACGGGGGCCCGCACAAGCGGAGGAACAUGUGGUUUAAUUCGAUGAUACGCGAGGAA